UGUAGUUAUCGCUGCCUUGCUGGUAACUAGGGUUGCCUCCUUGGCCUUGGUAGCCUGGUGCACCACCAGCAAAGACAGGGUUGCCGGCUUGAUAAGGAGGUGGGUUGCCGGCUUGAUAAGGAGGUGGGUUGCCACCAUGGUAACCUGGCCCUCCUCCCUGGUAUCCAGGGUUGUUGCCCUGGUAAGCAGAGGGUGGGGGUGGGGGUGGACCUCGGUAUUCCUG
rnacentral:lncRNA from 1 species